CUCGGUAGUUUUACCGGUGGGGCAACACCUGUUCCCAUUCCGAACACAGCAGUUAAGCCCACCAGGGCCGAUGGUACUUGGUGCCAAUCCGCACCCGGGAGAGUAGGUUACUACCGGGA
rnacentral:rRNA from 3 species